GACGUAGGGCGCGAGCGUUGUCCGGAUUUAUUGGGCGUAAAGAGCUCGUAGGCGGUCUGUCGCGUCGAUCGUGAAAACUUGGGGCUUAACCCUGAGCUUGCGGUCGAUACGGGCAUGACUGGAGUUCGGCAGGGGAGACUGGAAUUCCUGGUGUAGCGGUGAAAUGCGCAGAUAUCAGGAGGAACACCGGUGGCGAAGGCGGUCUGCUGGGCAGUUGCUGACACUGAGGCGCGACAGCGUGGGGAGCAAACAGG
rnacentral:rRNA from 1 species